rnacentral:rRNA from 1 species
AAUCAACGCUGGCGGCGUGCCUCAGACAUGCAAGUCGAACGCGAAAGUCCCCUUCGGGGGGCGAGUAGAGUGGCGCACGGGUGAGUAACACGUAGGUAAUCUACCUUUGGGUGGGGAAUAACGACCGGAAACGGUCGCUAAUACCGCAUAAUGCAGCGGCUCGACAUCGAGACAGUUGUUAAAGCGGGGGAUUCGCAAGAACCUCGCGCCUAAAGAGGAGCCUGCGGCAGAUUAGCUAGUUGGUAGGGUAAUGGCCUACCAAGGCGACGAUCUGUAACCGGCCUGAGGAGGGCGGUCGGUCACACUGACACUGACAUACGGGUCAGACUCCUACGGGAGGCAGCAGUCGGGAAUUUUGGGCAAUGGGCGAAAGCCUGACCCAGCAACGCCGCGUGAAGGAUGAAAUCCC